rnacentral:rRNA from 1 species
AACAAACGCUGGCGGCGUGCCUAAUACAUGCAAGUCGAACGGGGAAAGCUUUCGGGUGAGUACUAGUGGCGCACGGGUGAGGAACGCGUGGAUAAUCUGCCUUAGAGUGGGGGAUAACUAGUCGAAAGAUUAGCUAAUACCGCAUAAGACCACAAGAACUGCGGUUCAAGGGGUCAAAGGUUUUUCGCUCUAAGAUGAGUCCGCGUAAGAUUAGCUAGUUGGUGAGGUAACGGCUCACCAAGGCGACGAUCUUUAACUGGUCUGAGAGGAUGAUCAGUCACACUGGAACUGAGACACGGUCCAGACUCCUACGGGAGGCAGCAGUAGGGAAUAUUGCACAAUGGAGGAAACUCUGAUGCAGCGACGCCGCGUGAGUGAUGAAGGCCUUCGGGUCGUAAAGCUCUGUCGCAGGGGAAUAACACAAUGAAGGUACCCUGUAAGAAAGGAUCGGCUAACUUCGUGCCAGCAGCCGCAGUAACAC